rnacentral:rRNA from 1 species
AUUGAACGCUGGCGGCAGGCUUAACACAUGCAAGUCGAACGAGUGGCGGACGGGUGAGUAAUGCUUGGGAAUCUAGCUUAUGGAGGGGGAUAACUACGGGAAACUGUAGCUAAUACCGCGUACCAUAGGAUGAGCCCAAGGGGGAUUAGGUAGUUGGUGAGGUAAAGGCUCACCAAGCCGACGAUCUCUAGCUGGUCUGAGAGGUUGAACAGCCAACCUGGGAUUGAGACACGGCCCAGACUCCUACGGGAGGCAGCAGUGGGGAAUAUUGCGAAAGUGGGGCAACCUGACGCAGCCAUGCCGCGUGAAUGAAGAAGGCCUUCGGGUUGUAAAGUUCUUUCGGUAGCGAGGCGUUAACUACAGAAGAAGCACCGGCUAACUCCGUGCCAGUAGCCGCGGUAAUAC